rnacentral:misc_RNA from 1 species
UUAGGUGCAGCGCCUCCGGGUGCGAUCUUCAACCCUCGUGUCAAACAUACCUCGUUGCUUUGGCGGGCCCGCUCUCGGGCCGCCGGGGGCCUCGUUGCCUCUGGCCAGUGCCCGCCAGAAGCCCUCUUUAAUUCUAUUAUAACCGUAAAGUCUGAGUAUAACGAUCAAUCGUUA